UUAGGAAUUUUGCGCAAUGGGCGAAAGCCUGACGCAGCAACGCCGCGUGAGGGAAGACGGCUUUCGGGUUGUAAACCUCUUUUAGCAGGGACGAACACAAUGACGGUACCUGCAGAAAAAGCACCGGCUAACUACGUGCCAGCAGCCGCGGUAAUACGUAGGGUGCAAGCGUUAUUCGGAUUUAUUGGGCGUAAAGCGCAUGUAGGCGGUUCGGUAAGUCUGGUGUGAAAGCCCUCGACUCAAUCGAGGAAGUGCAUUGGAUACUGUCGAACUGGAGUACAGGAGGGGUGAGCGGAAUUCCAGGUGUAGAGGUGAAAUUCGUAGAUAUCUGGAGGAACAACAGCGGCGAAGGCGGCUCACUGGACUGUAACUGACGCUCAGAUGCGAUAGUGUGGGGAGCAAACAG
rnacentral:rRNA from 1 species